AUAAACGUUACCUUAUUCAGUUGUCCUACUUCUGUUGCAAUACGAGAUACGUAUGGUUGUCAAGUCCCCUGCCUUGGCGACCGUGGCAAGAGAACUUAUGCCAUUGAUUCUGGGGUUUAUUUUGAAACUCUCUUCCAGAAUCUAGAAUCCUGUACAAAAAUGUAUGAUGUUUUAUCAGUUCCAAUAGCCGAUGAAUAUUAUGUUUUUCGUUUCAAAUGGUCUAUACCAAAUUGCAGAAAAUGUGGAGAGGGAAAGAAGUGUGAAUGGCAGAACAAUGAAAUUAAAUGUCUUCCCUGGAGGAAACCAAGUAAGGAUAACAUAUGUAUUCAUUGCUAGUUUUAAACAUCUUUACAUUUAUGUCUUAGUAAUUAUUAUUUGAAGGAUGUUGUCCAAUCCAUUUUUACUAGGAAUAUUACCUGACAGUCUCGUUUAAAUUCGCAAUGAUCUUCUACAGGCAACACAUGGAAAAAAGUGGUUACAGGUGGAAUCCUGUGUGCUUUGCUUCUUGUUCUACUGACGAUUGCAGCAUAUCGGGUAUAUAGCGCUGAUAGAAAGGAGAAAGAGAGUCGAUUAAGAAUUGAAAGAUUCUUGGAGGACUACAAAGCACUCAAACCAAGCAGGUAUUCGUACGCAGAUAUUAAGAGGAUUACAAAUCAAUUCAAGGACAAGUUGGGCGAAGGAGCCUAUGGAACUGUCUUCAAAGGAAUGCUCUCUUCUGAAUUCUUCAUUGCUGUCAAAGUCCUCAACAGUUCCAAGGGAGAUGGGGAAGAGUUCGUAAAU
rnacentral:lncRNA from 1 species